CGGGGUGUGGCGCAGCCUGGAUAGCGCGCUUGACUGGGGGUCAAGAGGUCGCAGGUUCAAAUCCUGUCACCCCGA
rnacentral:tRNA from 1 species